rnacentral:lncRNA from 1 species
AUUCUGCCUCUGGCUAGAAAAGCCAGCACAGGCCUAAACAAGCAGGUUCUUUGGUGAUAUUAAUAAGCAAUGAGCUAAUAAAAAUAGAUUAAAACGUGUCUCUCUUAAUAUUCCCAGGGUACAGAGAGGAUUGGGGUACAGAAUCAGGCUGUGGGGAGCCAGGCAGAGUGUCACAGUAACAACACUGGUCUCGAGGGAGAGGAAAGGCUGGCCCCAGCUCCCUUCCCCCAGCACCUUACGAGCUGAGGCCUGGCCUCCCUGAAAUGGCUCGCCCGUUCCGCUGGCCUCCAGCCAGGCGAGCAGCAGCAGGAGCGGCCCCACAAGCUGCAUCCCGAGAUAGCCUGUUCGGCUGCCUACA